AUUUAAAGGUGCAACCAUGUGUGAUACGCGUUUAUUUCUCGUUUUCUCAGUGUGCGUCAGCAGUGCAACAAUGAUAAUACGGGACGUAGUUUUUGUAGUUGUUCUUACCACGACUUAUAUCUUGCAAUAUGGCUUUUCGAUAUUUAUAAAGGAAAAUGAAUUGAAAGAGUUCUUAAGCACAACUGAUCCCAUAUGGACGUACAACACGAGCAGCAAAUGGGACAACCACUGGUGUGUGGUGGAUGUUACAGAACGACUUCAGGAAGAAAGUCUUGUAUACCAACAUACCUACUAUGUGAAGUUCCCGCAAAAGCAGAAGACUUCCGUCAAAAUGCAUGGCGUUUUUAAAUACCAAAACAACAUGAUUACUGGCAGAAAAGAUUCUAAAGUCUUAUUUAAAAACCAUCUUACAUAUCUUGAUUCAGAAAAUGUAUGUGCUGUCAUCCGUGUUUCUCCAAUGUUUCACACUAAAAUGAAGCCUUGGCAUGAGCUGCGAGUUCGGAACUCGUUCCUUGUAAAAUAUCGCCGUCCAUCAAUAACAUGCGAACACUAUUUUCAGCUCAAAGCAAAGCAAGGACGUCUUAUCUAUCAUCCCGUAUGCCAGAAAAUUAUUUUUAAAGCGCAUCAAAUGCCACAGAAGACCAUACCAUCACAGAAGCCGCAUACCGCAUUCAGAAACACCAGUGUUUGAAUUGCUAUGAUAGAGUGCAAGUAUUUUGUACAUAAACGGUAUGCUUAUUCUGGCAGCAAAA